CAUUGACUUAGUUAAUAGCCUAUUUUGCAUCGUUUUUAAAAAACCGUCCUUGAAGGACAAAUAAAAACCUUCUCUCUCGAGCCCUAUCUGUAAAUCUCCCUCCCAACAGCCUCUCCUUCAAAUCUUGGUUCCUCUCUCGCCUUUCAACUUCCGUCGAGGUGCGAAACAACCAAUUGAAGCUGGUGUUCGUGUCAUUGGUCAGAUGUGCAUGUUUCUCAUAACAUCGACGCGCUUUUGGACCAAGAUAAACAUCAGCACUAUUUUCCUGGCCCUGCCAAAUGGGAGCUUUGCCUUGCCACCAAACAAGCUCUGCAGUUACUUCAGGACAACUAUCUCGAGUGUCCCGUGAUGGUAUAGCAUGAUCAAUCCCUUCUUGACUCAGAGGACCAAAAACAAAUUUGCUUUUCCUGGACCACCCAGGUCAUCGAUACUCUUUUCUAAAAUGUUUAUUUGAUCGCAAAGCCAUCCCAAACUGGAUGCCCUUUAUUUCUUCUGUUAAGGUGUGUGCUUGCUUUCCUUCUCACCCUCUAUUCUAAGGAUCAGUUUUCUUAAAUUACAGAAAUCGGGUCUUGUGAGGGAGGGGGGAAAUGAAGUCCCUUAGUUGUUCACAUUGCUUAAAACAUUUACUCAUGUUUUUCUUAGCAUCAUAAAAUAUCUGGGUAUAUUAUGGAACCUAGUAAAUUGCAAGGGCCUUUCAUAAUCAGCAAUGAUUGUCUACUAAGUUUAACACAGAAGAUAUGUUGCUUGUUUUUCUUUGCUAAGUCAAACAUCUAGCUGGUGUUUUGGAACCUAAGAUCCCCUGCCUUUUUGCUAAGGGAAGAUAGCCUGACAUUAGGAUCACGCUCUAGGCAUUCUUGCUUUGGAUCCAAAUGAUUUUCUCUCUCUUGCAUUUUGAUUUUAUGCAAAUGUUGGACUUGUUUCACAGAUAUUGCCAGACAAACCUGACCUAUCACGAUGGUCCUUGAAGUAUAAGGCAUUUGGUCCUAAUAUUGAAUUCUCUUGGCUUGCUCGUAAAAUGCAGGAAAAGAUCCCAAACUUAAUACUAUGCUUUUUUCUCCAUAAAUUCUCUUUAGUUACAAUUGCUAUUUGUUAUUCAUGCUAUAUCACCUUCUUGCAACCCAUUCCAAAUCAGAAAAUCCACUGGCGAUGUAUGGAAAAAAUCUACGCCUGUGCACUAGCAGUGAACUCUAGGAAUGUGAAAUGAAAUGUUUCUAGAAUGAUUAAAGAAUUCCUCGUUGUAUCUUGUUCAAACUAUCAUAUUGUGGUUAGCAUGAUAUGUUUGUACUUAUUGUAAUAAUUUUCCUUUUAUCCUCAUUGAAUUUGCAAGUGUGUUAGAUUUGCUUGACUACAUUAAUCCUAAUCAUGAUACUAAAGGGAGAGAUGCAACAACAAAGAGAAGAAGCCAAAUAACAAAGGUACAGAGGCAUGGAAUUUGGCAAAGGUUCUCUUCCACUAGUCAAUUGUCUUGGAGAUUGGAGGUACAGAGCCACGGAAUUUUGUAAAGAAAAAGGGUUCCAAUUAGUAGCUGAGUUAUGGGUUUCUACUUCAGUGAGUGGAUUGGAUUAAUAUUUAAGUUUAAAGUGCAUUUUGAUUGUGUUUUAUUUUCUUAAUUUUUCUAAUGUUGCAUGUUUUGAAAAACUCAAAUACUUGUUUUAGAAUUUGACAGUUGUUGGAGGUUGUAUGGGAUAUGGAUCUCCUUUGACUUUAACUUGUACAUAAAACAAAAUAAGAAAAGGGGAAACGGGGGGAUGCCACUGCACUGAUGCCAACUAUGAGGGCAGCUGCACGCGUAAUUCUUGAUAAUGUACGUGAGGGAGUGCUCAAGAGGGUAUUUGAUUUGUGAUGCCUUUGAAUAAUACAAUCCUACAUAUCAAUAUUAUGCAUUUA